rnacentral:misc_RNA from 1 species
GGCAAAUACAUUUUAUUAAUAUGAAGGGAAAAACUUAAGUGUACAAGAUGUAGAGUAAAUAAAUAUAUCUUCUCACCAAUAGUACAAUUUAAUUUGUUUCACCAAGCACAACUAUUCGAUCACUUAUGAGCAACUCAAAUCGCAAGUAUCACCUAAAACCAUCAAUUGUCUCUACAAAAUUUGUCAAUGAUUUCUAGCAUGUGACAUCUGACAUCAAGAUGUUUCUAUUCCUGCAGUCCUAUUUAGGCAACUGUAUCAAAAGCAGCUGCCUCAGAGAAACUAUGCUUCCCAAUUUACAUUCUCCCUUGGCGUGCCACUUGGGGGUAUUGGUAUUGCUCAAUAUUG